rnacentral:lncRNA from 1 species
GUUGCUUGUCCUCCUAUAUCACCUCCCACUCUUCCACUGCCCAUCUUCUACUUCGGAACCCCCUGGCCUGCCUAUUCUCCCUCACCAGUUGCCACAUCCACCUUCCCCCAGUCUUUCCUUCCUCCUUCCUCCCUGAGAAAGUCUUCGGUCUUCUUCCUAGGAUCUCCCCUCUCUGGGGAAUGUGCUGGCACCUGGAAGAGAUGGUUUCCUAGGGUUAAGAGCAUCAGGAGACGAUGGGAGUGGGGGCGGGAUGUCUCUUUUCUGCCUUUACACAGAGGGUAGCCCACAUCCACAGAGCCAACUCAUCCUCUUGCCCCUAUGACAUGUCCCAGCCUGGGCUGAGGUUUUACUUCCAGAGGCCCUGCCCUCCAGGAAUCUGAUGUCUGUGCAGCCACCUCAGUCUGCUCCCACAGGAAGGUACCAUCACUUGCAACCAGAAGCCAUGCCCAAGAGGACCCUGCCCUGAGCCAGGAGCAUGCUGCCCGCACUGUAAGCCAGGCUGUGAUUAUGAGGGGCAGCUUUAUGAGGAGGGGGUCACCUUCCUGUCCAGCUCCAACCCUUGUCUACAGUGCACCUGCCUGAGGAGCCGAGUUCGCUGCAUGGCCCUGAAGUGCCCGCCUAGCCCCUGCCCAGAGCCAGUGCUGAGGCCUGGGCACUGCUGCCCAACCUGCCAAGGUGAGAGCCCCUGGCCCCUCCCUGGUAGAGCCACAGGUAGGUUGUCGUGCCAUUUCUUGAAUUCCAGAGCCCACCUUGCCGGCCUCCAGUGGGUUUGGUCCGUGGCGGAGCUGGAAUGCCUGAGCUCAAAUUCUGCCAUUGCCACCUAGUGCUUGUG